UCUGGACGGUGCAGGGUUUCAGA
rnacentral:piRNA from 1 species